rnacentral:rRNA from 1 species
UACGGAGGGAGCUAGCGUUAUUCGGAAUUACUGGGCGUAAAGCGCACGUAGGCGGCUUUGUAAGUUAGAGGUGAAAGCCUGGAGCUCAACUCCAGAACUGCCUUUAAGACUGCAUCGCUUGAAUCCAGGAGAGGUGAGUGGAAUUCCGAGUGUAGAGGUGAAAUUCGUAGAUAUUCGGAAGAACACCAGUGGCGAAGGCGGCUCACUGGACUGGUAUUGACGCUGAGGUGCGAAAGCGUGGGGAGCAAAC